rnacentral:rRNA from 1 species
UACGUAGGGUGCAAGCGUUAAUCGGAAUUACUGGGCGUAAAGCGUGCGCAGGCGGUGAUGUAAGACAGUUGUGAAAUCCCCGGGCUCAACCUGGGAACUGCAUCUGUGACUGCAUCGCUGGAGUGCGGCAGAGGGGGAUGGAAUUCCGCGUGUAGCAGUGAAAUGGGUAGAUAUGCGGAGGAACACCGAUGGCGAAGGCAAUCCCCUGGGCCUGCACUGACGCUCAUGCACGAAAGCGUGGGGAGCAAACAGG